rnacentral:rRNA from 1 species
AUGACCCCUAGAUCGAUGGAUCUCAUGGAUUCAGAAAGCCAAGCCAUGGAUUCGGCGUCGCUGCUGCCAGCAGAUGGAAGAAGGUUAGCCUGGAUGAGCCGCCUCCAUUCCUCGCCAGUGCACCCGCUGGACGACGAGGACCUCCUCCAGGAGAUUCUCCUCCGCCUGCCUCCUCAGCCAUCCUCUCUCCCCCGUGCUUCCCUCGUCUGCCCGCGCUGGCAUUGCAUCCUCUCCGACCCCAAGUUCAUCCAGCGCUUCCGUAGACACCAUCGGAAACCCCCGCUUCUCGGUUUCUUCUUCUCUGAAACGGGCUUUCCCACCGUCUUCAAUCCCGCUCUCGACCCACCCGAUCGAAUCCCCGCCGAGCGCUUCUCCUUGCCCAAGAAUAGAUUCAAUGCCAGCCAGCACUUUCUCGGUUGCCGCCAUGGCCUCGCCGUCCUAACCAACUUGCACCUCCGCGAGAUUAUCGUGUGGGAUCCCCUCAGCGGCCAACAACACCGCGUGGGUUUUCCAGCGGGGCUUGACAACAACAAAGUGACGUACUGGCAUGCCGAACUGUUGUGCGCUGAUGCCGAAGAUGGGCACGUGCACGGGGAUUGCUUCUCGAGCCCGUUCAAAUUGGUCGCAAUCUGGGUCGUCAGAUGCACGCAGGCAUUUGCUUGCCUCUAUGAAUCAGCAACCGGUGUAUGGGGAGACACUGUCUUCACGGAGGUUACAAAACAGAAUUAUAAUUAUAGCAUGAGGCCUGGCGUUCUUAUUGGGAAUGCACUUUGCUGGUUGCUUUCUGGAGGUGACGUUCUGGCAUUUUGUCUUCAAAGCCAGAGCCUUCAUGUGAUGAACAAGCCGUUGGAAAUCAAGUACACCUCCGGUUCUAUUCAGCUCUUAAGAACAGAGGAUUGUGGUGUUGGUCUCGCGUAUUUGUCAGAACUGACCAUUCAAUUAUGGGAGAGGAAAUCAAAUUGUCAUGGCGUGGUCGGCUGGGUGCUUCUGCAAAAAACUAUUCAAUUGCAGGAGCUCUUUCCACAAGGAAUGUUUAGUGAGAGGAAAAGGGUGCACAUAACAGGGUAUGCCGAGGAGACAAAUGCGAUUGUUCUGUCUGUGUUGAGAGACGACUUCAUGCUGCAAGUUGACACGAUGGAGAUCAAACAUAUUCAGAAAAGAAAAGGAGAUGGAUUUACCUUUCCGUACGCAAAUUUCUAUGUUGCAGGUAUGCAAGUUGAUGGUGGAGACAUAGGAGAUGAAAAUUGGGACGUAGUGGAUGAACUAAUGCACUAUCUCGGUGUCCCUGCUCAUCUUGAUGUUGAUGAGUUUUGA